CAAGUCGAGCGCUGAUUGCAGGGUAGCAAUAUUCUGCAGUCGGAGCGGCGCAAGGGUGCGUAACACGUGGGUAAUCUGCCAUGAAGUUUGGGAUAACUUGCUGAAAGGCGAGCUAAUACCGGAUGUGAAGAUUGGGUGGCAUCAUCUGAUCUUUAAAGUUGGGGACCGUAAGGCCUGACGCUUCAUGAUGAGCCCGCGGCCUAUCAGCUAGUUGGUGAGGUAACGGCUCACCAAGGCUAAGACGGGUAGCUGGUCUGAGAGGACGACCAGCCACACUGGAACUGAGACACGGUCCAGACACCUACGGGUGGCAGCAGUCGAGAAUUUUUCACAAUGGGCGCAAGCCUGAUGGAGCGACGCCGCGUGGGGGAUGAAUGGCUUCGGCCCGUAAACCCCUGUCAUUUGCGAUCAAACCUUGUUAUUUAAAAGAUGACGAGCUGAUAGUAGCGAAAGAGGAAGGGACGGCUAACUCUGUGCCAGCAGCCGCGGUAAUACAGAGGUCCCAAGCGUUGUUCGGAUUCACUGGGCGUAAAGGGUGCGUAGGUGGUGGGGUAAGUCGGAUGUGAAAUCUCCGAGCUCAACUCGGAAAUGGCAUUGGAAACUACCCUGCUAGAGGGUCGGAGGGGGGACUGGAAUGCUUGGUGUAGCAGUGAAAUGCGUAGAUAUCAAGCGGAACACCAGUGGCGAAGGCGAGUCCCUGGACGACACCUGACACUGAGGCACGAAAGCUAGGGGAGCAAACAGGAUUAGAUACCCUGGUAGUCCUAGCCGUAAACGGUGCACGUUUGCUGUAAAAGGAAUCGACCCCUUUUGUGGC
rnacentral:rRNA from 1 species